rnacentral:rRNA from 1 species
CCCCUCUGAACUAGCGUUCAAGACUAAGCCAUGCAAGUGUAAGCUCAAGACCAUUCGGUGGUCGAAGCCGCGGACGGCUCCGUACAAGGCAGUUAAUCUACGGUCCAGCGAACGAUCUACGGAUAUCUCUGGUAAGCUAGAGCCAAUACGUGUGACCAAUUCUCCGAUCCUCCGGGACCGGGGUGCAGUUAUCAGACCGAGGUGGCGUGCCGCUCGCGGUACGCGAUCAGGUGACUCUAGAUAACCUUGCCGACCGUGAGUUUUGCUCGACGGCGUGGACCACGAGACUGCCACCUAUCAACUUUUGACGGUAGGGUAUUGGCCUACGGUGGUUGCAACGGGUACGGGGAAUCAGGGUUCGAUUCCGGAGAGUAGGCCUGAGAAACGGCCGCCAUUGCCACGGCACGCAGCAGGCGCGCAAAUUUGUCAAUAUUCGAACGAAUGAACGAGUGAGAACGUAUUGUCGGGUGGGACCAACUUGGUUACCGCCACGUCGAUGAGACUAGUCCAAAAAGCUAGUCGAACACCGCUGGAGGGCAAGUCUGGUGCCAGCAGCCGCGGUAAUUCCAGCUCCGGGAGUUCACAGGAUUAUUGCUGAGUCUAAAACGUCCGUAGUCGGAAUCAGCACCACCCCCGUUCGAGAUUCGUCCCUUGGUGGACUUUCGCGGACGAGGGCGGCACGACCCGGCUCGCGUCUCGUGCGCGGGCUUCGGGUCCGCAUCCUUGACCUAAACCAAACGAUCGAAGUGAGCUCGUGCUCGAUGGUUUUGCAUGGAAUCGUGGAACGGGGUCGGCCUUACGCCUCGAAUAGGCCGACGACGAUCAACGGGAGCGAUCGGGGGUGAGGGAACUGCAGGGCGAGGGGUAAAAUCUGAUGAGCCUUGCAAGACCGACUAAAGCGAAAGCAUUCACCAGGAUCGUUUCCGUCGAUAAAGGACUGAAGCCACCGUAGUCAACUGGAUUAGAUACCCAGGUAUCGGUGCGCCCCAAACUAUGCCGACCGGCCGGAUGCUCGAUUACUCAAGUGGCGGGUAUUCGGUCCGAGGAAGCUGGAGCUAUUUGGCUUCUGGGAGAGUAUUGCUGCAAAGUUGAAACUUAAAGGAAUUGACGGAAGGGCACCAUCAGGCCUGGAUUAUGUGGCUCAAUUGGACUCGACGCCCAGUACUCAACCAGGACCGGAGCGCCCGACGAAGCACGGCUCGAAUAGCCUUGCCGAUGAGCGCGCUGGUGACGCAUGGCCGCCGCAGUCCUUGAGGUGACUUGUCUGGUUAAUUCCGACAACGGACGCAACCGCCCCGUUCGACUAUCGGCCGGAACGCGGACUCGUCCGUGACGCGCCAAGAAACUCGAACAGACAAACUCGGGAGCGGUUUUACCGCGACCGAGAGGAAGCUACGGCGAUGGCAGGUCUGUGAUGCCCCUAGAAGCCCUGGGUUGCACACGUCAUACAAUGCCCGUUCGAACGCGCUUUCGCCGCUCCGAAAGGUCCGGCUUAAUCGUCGUAAAAGCGGGCCCGGUUGGGAUCGAGGAUUGCAACUGUUCCUCGUGAACGCGGAAUGCCUCGUAGAGGCGGGUCAUCAACUCGCCUCGAAUAAGUCCCUGUCCUUUGUACACACCGCCCGUCAUUACAGCCAAUGCAUCGUCAGCGUCAAGAGGCUGGACUGACUAGGCUCAGGCUUGGUCGGAAAAGCUCCUGAACGUCGGUGAUAGGAGGGUGUACAAGUCGUAACAUGGUUUCCGU